GGGUGUAUAGCUUAGUUGGUAGAGCAUUGGGCUCUUAACCUAGUGGUCGCAGGUUCAAGUCCUGCUAUACCCA
rnacentral:tRNA from 1 species